rnacentral:rRNA from 1 species
CAGUCGCCCGGGAAUACGGAGGAUGCGAGCGUUAUUCGGAAUCAUUGGGUUUAAAGGGUCUGUAGGCGGGCUAUUAAGUCAGGGGUGAAAUAUUUCAGCUUAACUGGGAAAUUGCCUUUGAUACUGGUAGUCUUGAAUAUUUGUGAAGUUUUUGGAAUGUGUAGUGUAGCGGUGAAAUGCAUAGAUAUUACACAGAACACCGAUUGCGGAGGCAGGGGACUAACAAAUAAUUGACGCUGAGAGUCGAGAGCGUGGGGAGCGAACAGGAUUAGAUACCCCCGUAGUCCCUGUCUCUUAUACA